UGAGCUGCCCGUGAAGGAGUUGUUCCCUGCCGCGGGGCGCGCGGGGCUGGCCGCUCCUCCCCUUCCCGCCACUUAGGCUCUAAUGGAGCGUUCGAGUCCUUGGACACGCAGCAAUUAGCAGGGCGGUAAAAAUGUCAGCCUGACGUGCUCAGGUGGAAAGCGGCGUGGAAGGUACGAUGGCGUGUGGUUAACUCGACGCUGCGUGGCAGGAGAACGAGCGGCUCAGCCCGUGGAGCGGAGUGGCACGGCAAGGAAAGCGGUGUCACCCACGUCCAUCGUUUCCAAUCGAGCAGUUCCACACGCACCUCUUAAUGAUGCAACGUUUCGAUCCUUUCCGUGUGGCCUUCCAAAUACAAACGGAGUAGUCGCAUCAUCUGUCCAUGAAUAUCAGAGUGAGAACUUGCAGACGUUCGAUGGUAAAACGUGAGUGCUGUGAGGCACUGCUCUGUGUGUGUGCCUCAGUGGCAGCACAGACUGAAGUGCAGCAGAGUUGCCAACCUCCUGACUUCACUGCCAGGAAUGUAAAUCAACGUUAAGGAUGAUUUUUAAGAGAAAUAGCAAGUUAAACAUUUGUACAAACACAUCAUCAAAUAGAGGUUGUACUGCCUCUCUCUAAACCUCUUGCCUGCUGGCAAAAAUAAAACUGUUCCAGUGACAUUUUCCCUGCUCUGCUGUGACAAGGGCUGCAUAAAUAUAGACACCGUGGAUUAGAAUAGACUCCAGCAAUCUCCAACUUCCUUUCUAGUAGCCGCUUCUGCAGAGUUUCCCAUAGCUACGGGUGAAAAACAGGGAGCCUAAGCUGGGGCAAAUCCUCUGUUACUACCAGGAGCUGAAGAGGUUGCUGCUCUUUGCCAAGAAAGUGUAGUCAGGUUGCUGUCACACAUAGGACAGGCAAGGACUGAUAUCCAGGGUCAGCAGGAGUGAUGCUUCUCAUGUGUGCAUGGCACUUCAAGUUUUGGGAUCCUAUGGGCAUCAAGAACAGCUUUUCUCUGAGUGCAUUUCACUUCUCAUCAGCAGGCAGCUGAAAAAUUGGUCUCACAUGGGUUAUGUGUGGGAAGGGCCCUGCUCUGGAGACCACAAAUUCUGUCCCAGCUACUGCUGUCAAGUGAACUUGGUGUACCUCAUGGGAAGCUACAGGUUGAUGGCACACUGUAGCUACUGGAAGGUUUUGUCUAAGUUGUGGCCAGAAGCAGGAAGAGAGAGAACAGCCUCUUUGCCCUCACUAUCUGAAGUGUCUGCUACCCACAGCCCAGUUUGUGUUGCCAUGGAGACAUUGCCCUGA
rnacentral:lncRNA from 1 species